rnacentral:rRNA from 1 species
UACGUAGGGAGCAAGCGUUGUUCGGAUUUACUGGGCGUAAAGGGCGCGUAGGCGGCGCGGUAAGUCACUUGUGAAAUCUCUGAGCUUAACUCAGAACGGCCAAGUGAUACUGCAGUGCUAGAGUGCAGAAAGGGCAAUCGGAAUUCUUGGUGUAGCGGUGAAAUGCGUAGAUAUCAAGAGGAACACCUGAGGCGAAGGGGGGUUGCUAGGCUGACACUGACGCUGAGUGCGCGAAAGCCAGGGGAGCAAACGGG